AUGCUUGAAGAGGCAUCCCAACAAACGCCUCCUCAGUCGGUCCGGCACUCUGGUAUGCCUCACCCUGGGGAUCCUGCCAUCUUCAGCGGCGUGGACGACACCGGCGUCGAGGAAGGCAUGAAAGGUAGUCGGUGCAGAUGCACUCAGCCAGCCAGAGUCCGGGUUCUGAACGAGUUCCGCAGUCCACGGCUGCCGGUCUACAGAUGGCUUCAAGGGUCACCCAAACCUGUGAAUGUAAGUAGAUUCUUAGCCACUGCUCUGCCCGCCGCCUCGGCUGCCAAGUGUCCGAUAAGCCGAUCGGAGCGUUGUUUUAUCGGGUCCAGCAGGUGACGUCAGCCACACGUGGUCCCGAAAGUAGGCUGUGCGUUUUUCGCUGCAGUAGUCGGUGCAGAUGCACUCAGCCAGCCACAGUCCGGGUUCUGAACGAGUUCCACAGUCCACGGCUGCCGGUCUACAGAUGGCUUCAAGGGUCACCCAAACCUGUGAAUGUAAGUAGAUUCUUAGCCACUGCUCUGUCCGCUGCCUCUGCUGCCAGGUGUCCGAGACGCCGAUCGGAGCGUUGUUUUCUCGGGUCCAGCAGGUGACGUCAGCCACACGUGGUCCCGAAAGUAGGCUGUGCGUCUUUCGCUGCAGUAGUCGGUGCAGAUGCACUCAGCCAGCCGCAGUCCGGGUUCUGAACGAGUUCCACAGUCCACGGCUGCCGGUCUACAGAUGGCUUCAAGGGUCACCCAAACCUGUGAAUGUAAGUAGAUUCUUAGCCACUGCUCUGCCCGCCGCCUCUGCUGCCAAGUGUCCGAGAAGCCGAUCGGAGCGUUGUUUUAUCGGGUCCAGCAGGUGACGUCAGCCACACGUGGUCCCGAAAGUAGGCUGUGCGUCUUUCGCUGCAGUAGUCAGUGCAGAUGCACUCAGCCAGCCACAGUCCGGGUUCUGAACGAGUUCCACAGUCCACGGCUGCCGGUCUACAGAUGGCUUCAAGGGUCACCCAAACCUGUGAAUGUGACGUCAGCCACACGUGGUCCCGAAAGUAGGCUGUGCGUCUUUCGCUGCAGUAGUCGGUGCAGAUGCACUCAGCCAGCCACAGUCCGGGUUCUGAACGAGUUCCACAGUCCACGGCUGCCGGUCUACAGAUGGCUUCAAGGGUCACCCAAACCUGUGAAUGUAAGUAGAUUCUUAGCCACUGCUCUGCCCGCUGCCUCUGCUGCCAAGUGUCCGAGAAGCCGAUCGGAGCG